UGGACGAAGGCCAAUUCUUGGCUGGUCACAUGCCCUACAAAGGAGGAUUGCAAUCCUGGGUGGGACUCAAGAAACACCACAGAAUGUUUGAGUGGAGCGACGCAACACCUGCAGGCAAGAUCGAGUGGGUCCCAAACAGGCCGGCCGGACGGGGAGACUGCGCUGCCUUGUCGCAGACUGGAAAACUUGAGGACUGGCC